rnacentral:tRNA from 1 species
CCUUCGAUAGCUCAGUUGGUAGAGCGGAUGACUGUAGAUCCUUAGGUCGCUGGUUCGAAUCCGGCUCGACGGA